GGCGACGUGGCCAAGUGGUAAGGCAGGGCUCUGCAAAAGCCCGAUCAGCGGUUCGAAUCCGCUCGUCGCCUCCU
rnacentral:tRNA from 1 species